AAGAAAUCUCAAUUUAUAAAAUUUAAAAAAUCAAGAUAAAGCUCAUUUAAAUCAUCAAAUCAAGAUCAAUAGAUUUUCAAAAAUGAAUUGUUAGGAUCAAGAAAAUCCAAAAAUAAAAUUUAACACUUUCAUGCAUUCGGACAUGGUUUUGCUAUAGAUUUUCAAACACAAUCAUGAAGAUAAAACAUGCUCAUGAUCAUGAAAAUUUUUGUAUCCAAAACAUAUAAUUUUCAACAUGUUAUUAAGGUAUGUAAUAGUGUAAAAUUCUCAUUAUAGCAAUUAUAGUGAUUUGAUCAUUGCAUCAAGAAAGUUCGAAAA
rnacentral:lncRNA from 1 species